GAACGAAAUGGGAGGGGAGUUGAAAAUAAGCAUAGAUCCGGAGAUUUCCAAAUAGGUCAACCUUUUAAACUGCCUGCUGAAUCCAUGAGCAGGCAAGAGACAACCUGGCGAACU